rnacentral:rRNA from 1 species
UAUCUCUGUAGAGUCUGCAUAUCAAUAAGCGGAGGAAAAGAAACUAACUAGGAUUCCCUCAGUAACGGCGAGUGAAGCGGGAAGAGCUCAAAUUUGAAAUCUUCAAGGUUCUACCUUGACGAAUUGUAGUUUAAAGAAGUGUUUUCUGUUGAAGUUUUGGUAAAAGUUCUUUGGAAUAGGACAUCAUAGAGGGUGAGAAUCCCGUAUUUGACCAUUAUUGCCAGCUUUGUGAUACACUUUCAAAGAGUCGGAUUGUUUGGGAAUGCAGUCCAAAAUGGGUGGUAAAUUUCAUCUAAAGCUAAAUACUGGCGAGAGACCGAUAGCGAACAAGUACCGUGAGGGAAAGAUGAAAAGAACUUUGAAAAGAGAGUUAAACAGUACGUGAAAUUGUCAAAAGGGAAGCGUUUGACACCAGUGUUGUUUUUCUCGAAAAUCAAUUAAAAAAAGUUGGAUUUUGUAUUGUUAAGACCUUAUCAGCUUACUGUACUCUUUUCUUGCUUUUUUUAAUGCACUUUUCGUUUAACAAGUCAACAUCAAUUUCUUUUGUUGUAAAAGAGUCAUUGGAAGGUGGCUUUCACUUCGGUGAAAGUGUUUAUAGCCUUUGGCUUCUGCAAUCGGAGAGAUUGAGGUCUGCAGCGUAGAUCCUUCGGGGCUAGAUACGUAGAUGCUAAGUUAUAGUUUUUUAUAGACAACUUGUUGACUAUAAUUAAUCAUGUAGCUUACUCGUUUGCGCUAUUUUACCUACGCUUAGGAUGUUGACGAUCAGCUGAGCGCG